rnacentral:lncRNA from 1 species
CACAGUUAUAACUUGAUAGAUUAUAUAGUUUAUUUUGAAAGUUGCGUAAACAUUUUACAUUGCAUUAUAAAUUUCACAUUGGACAACAGGAUGAAGAUACACAUGUUGCUCACAGUGGUUUUAAUUCUAGAAUUUCCAUGUGUUGUUCAAGGUAAGAAAACAAAAACUUGAUCAUGAAAAUAGUUAUGAAACCUAUACACGUGUACAAAUUAUGUAUUUAUGUAUAGAGUUAUUAGCUCAAACGCUUCAAACAGAUAAGGCAUAUGUUUUAACGUUCUAUUCUUCAGGGCCGAACUCAUUGAGGCAAAUGAGGCAAAUGCCUCAUGCUGGAAAUUUAAAAAAAAACAAAAAAAAAAGACUGAAAAAAAAAGAUUGUCUUCAUAUCAAAUUGUUUUCACGGAAAGUGUCGUGCAAGAAGCAAGUCCUCUUCACUCCCUGAUGUCGCCCCUGCAUUUUUUUCGUGAUCCAUGCUUCUAUUUUACUUUUGGUUUUCGGAGUUGAUGGUCUAUUGUUUGUACUUCUGUGUCUCGGGUUUCACGGUCUUUCGUUCUUUUAUUUUCCUACUUUAUGACUAUAGUCUGAGUGUUGAUUUUCAUUUCUUAUUGUGCGCAAUGUUGCAUGUCCACCAAUGUCACCAAUGUCCAGAUAUUGUGCGGGAAUAUAUUUUAAGAAUGUGCUCUACGAUGCUACUGGACACAGAAAAAAAUUGUCUUUUCUGCAUCGAUAAUUGAACUUGAUAUCAAAGAAUACAAAACUGCCUUUUUGUAUAUUAAACCACAUGCCUUGGGCAUAUGAUACAGAUAUAUUUUUUUUCUCGUUGAUUAAGAUAUUAAAUUUUCUAUAUUAAUAAUGCAUAUAUAUAACUUUUGUGCAUGUCUCACCUAGUUUCGAGUGAUCUAAACGACUCAGAGAAAAUACCCAAUUUUUCUUAGUAUGGAUUGUAAAAUUGGAUAUUUUCUCUGAGACAUGCACAAAAGUGAUACAUAUGUAUUAUAAAUAUAGAAAAUUGACUAUUUUGAUCAACAACAACAAAAAAUAAAAAUAUAUAUGUAUCAUAUACCCAAGCGCCUGUGGACAAAACUUCAUAGCUGACAUGGUUUAAAUUAAGUAAGACCACCGAUUUCCCGGUACCAAAUCAUUUGAAAAAAAAACAACAAUGUAUUGCCAUAUGACCUUUUACAUUGAAGGGUUAAACUUGCAUUAAGUCGUGUUCAGACAGAAAAUAAAGGAAUAUGGGGUAAACAUACACGGGAACUUAUCGCACACAAAGUCAAUGCAUAGAAAAAAUACAAAUGAUCAAUGAUCAAAAUUUUUAUUCCUGUUCUUCUUCUUGAUAGUUGCUGGAGGGUACUCAAUAAUAAAAGAAUCAUUAAUACUGUAAAAGAAGGUCAAGAUGGUCCCUAGUGUCGAAUUAAGCAGUACUAGUACUUACAGUAUAAUACUGCACUGUCACUAUAUUUAAAUCUAGUCAUAAAAAAAAAUCAUCAAAGUCAGCACAAUACAAGACAAGAGCAGACAGACAGACCCGGUAUUAAUGAUUUUGAGAAAUACGAUUUUGACUUUAUCCUACAUAUCGGUCUUUUAAUAUUGCCCCUAAAACCUAAAAGUCUUAAAUGAUAAUGAAUCUAUGUUUUUGCAUUGAGACCAGAAUAUUGUCGAAAAAAUAGCUAAAGAUUAUUUGCGUUUCAAUGUAAGAAAGAGUCUGUGGAACGCUCAGAAUGCACGAUUUUACGUUAUUUUACUCAAAGCUUCUGGGGGUCUUGAGGGGCCCCCAGACACUUCGCCAAAAAAUUUUAGCCUCGCUACGCUCGGCGAAUAUAUUUUGCUCAUUAUUAAAGAGGCUACUACGCCCUGUCUUUAUAUUAAACCUGACAUAUUUAACUGUAAUCUAGCUAUCUUCGACAUAAUUUGCUCUCAUCUAGUGACUUAAUGGAUACACUCAGAUAGGACAAUUUAGUUAGAAAAGGAAUAAGCAUGGUAUAAUUCAGCACUUGCUUACGUCCAUUACAAAUUGUGCAGUCGCGAGUUGCUACGCAUUAACUGAACUUACAUCCGAAAACUGCAAUCAAUGUCAGCAAAUAUAAGGUUUAUCUGUUUUCCCGACUUUCAUUCAAGUCAUGAACGAGCUAUAGCUGUUACUUCUUUUGAAAAUGUAACUUAUAUAUUUAGUGGGCUGCAAUGACUUCACAAGGUUAAAAUCAUAAGUACAUAAAGAAGUCAGAAUUAAAUAAUUGAAAUAUAAAGAUUAUUUCUUUUAAUUAAUCCGACAUGACAUUACAAUGACAACACAAUCCAAAACUGAAUACUGCACCAAGCUAUGUUUGAAAUUGUCAUUAUGUAUCUCAAUGUACUAGAUAAGAUUAUGCAGCUGUUGUUGAAACUGUACAGUAACGACAUGAGCAGUUGACUAUCUUAAAAAUGUAAAAAUAAAGAAAUUGUAAACAACCCCACCCCCUAAUUAUCAUCUGGGUUAACCAUUCAUUUAACGGUCCACCUAGGAUAUCCUACUGUAUAUGUACUUGUCUUUCUUCUGCAUACUGAAGUGUAAAAAAUCUCACUCUAUUUUAUUAUCAGUUUAGAAAUGGCCUCUUUCUUAAUUUGCCAAACUUUUCCUUUGCAACUGACCCUGCUCCUUUUGACUGAAGUAAUUAGGAUCAACAUGUAUUUCAUAAAUUCAAACAUCGAUAAGUUCAUCGUUAAAAUGAAACCACAACACAUACUGACAGACUAGCUGAUAGACAUAUAUACAGAUAGACAUAGAGACAGACAGAGAGACAGACAGACAGAUUUAGGAUGUAAAUAUAGUUCAAAGAAGAUGUCGACCAUUUACUGAUUAUCGUUUUGUUGUAAUUCUUAGGUGUUUUAAUGGAAGAUUGGUUAAUUUCAACAUUACUGCAGGAUUACAAUAAGCUAGCAUAUCCUGGAACAACGGACAAUGCAACUGUUGUUGUCAAACACGACAUGACCCUUAUUCGAGUUGUGGAAUUUGUAAGUUUAAAA